GGUACUUGUACCGACUGGAUGAGCAGCGAACGGGUGAGUAACGCGUGGGGAAUCUGCCUUUGAGCGGGGGACAACAUUUGGAAACGAAUGCUAAUACCGCAUAAAAACUUUAAACACAAGUUUUAAGUUUGAAAGAUGCAAUUGCAUCACUCAAAGAUGAUCCCGCGUUGUAUUAGCUAGUUGGUGAGGUAAAGGCUCACCAAGGCGAUGAUACAUAGCCGACCUGAGAGGGUGAUCGGCCACAUUGGGACUGAGACACGGCCCAAACUCCUACGGGAGGCAGCAGUAGGGAAUCUUCGGCAAUGGACGAAAGUCUGACCGAGCAACGCCGCGUGAGUGAAGAAGGUUUUCGGAUCGUAAAACUCUGUUGGUAGAGAAGAACGUUGGUGAGAGUGGAAAGCUCAUCAAGUGACGGUAACUACCCAGAAAGGGACGGCUAACUACGUGCCAGCAGCCGCGGUAAUACGUAGGUCCCGAGCGUUGUCCGGAUUUAUUGGGCGUAAAGCGAGCGCAGGUGGUUUAUUAAGUCUGGUGUAAAAGGCAGUGGCUCAACCAUUGUAUGCAUUGGAAACUGGUAGACUUGAGUGCAGGAGAGGAGAGUGGAAUUCCAUGGGUAGCGGGUG
rnacentral:rRNA from 1 species